CCUACGGGAGGCAGCAGUGGGGAAUAUUGCACAAUGGGGGAAACCCUGAUGCAGCGACGCCGCGUGAAGGAAGAAGUAUUUCGGUAUGUAAACUUCUAUCAGCAGGGAAGAAAAUGACGGUACCUGACUAAGAAGCCCCGGCUAACUACGUGCCAGCAGCCGCGGUAAUACGUAGGGGGCAAGCGUUAUCCGGAUUUACUGGGUGUAAAGGGAGCGUAGGCGGUGCAGCAAGUCAGAAGUGAAAGCCCGGGGCUCAACCCCGGGACUGCUUUUGAAACUGGUGAGCUAGAGUGCAGGAGAGGUAAGUGGAAUUCCUAGUGUAGCGGUGAAAUGCGUAGAUAUUAGGAGGAACACCAGUGGCGAAGGCGGCUUACUGGACUGUAAAUGACGCUGAGGCUCGAAAGCGUGGGGAGCAAACAGGAUUAGAUACCCUUGUAGUC
rnacentral:rRNA from 1 species